rnacentral:rRNA from 1 species
GUCUACGGCCACACCCCCUGAACGCGCCCGAUCUCGUCUGAUCUCGGAAGCUAAGCAGGGUCGGGCCUGGUUAGUACUUGGAUGGGAGGUAAGUAGGUGGUUUAGACA